GCGCCGCUAGCUCAAUUGGAUAGAGCAUCGGUCUACGGAACCGAAGGUUGGAGGUUCGAGUCCUCCGCGGCGUA
rnacentral:tRNA from 1 species